GAAAUCAAGUGUGGGUGAGACCUGGUGCACAGCGGGAAGGCGACCCAUACUUGGUUUCAG
rnacentral:pre_miRNA from 1 species